rnacentral:misc_RNA from 1 species
GAAAUGCGAUAAGUAAUGUGAAUUGCAGAAUUCAGUGAAUCAUCGAAUCUUUGAACGCACAUUGCGCCCGCCAGCACUCUGGCGGGCAUGCCUGUUCGAGCGUCAUUUCAACCCUCAGAACCCCUUGCGGGAUCUGGCGUUGGGGAUUGGCAUCCAGCCAGCCCCGAAAUCUAGUGGCGGUCCCUCCGCGACCUCCCCUGUGCAGUAGCGAUACCUCGCAGCGGGACAGCGGUCUGACCACGCCGUAAAACCCCCAACUUCUCAAGGUUGAUCUCAAAUCAGGUAGGACUACCCGCUGAACUUAAGC